rnacentral:lncRNA from 1 species
ACCACUAGAUUGAGGCCUCAAACCUGAAAAUUGAGACACAAUUCUUGUAUUACGAUUAGCUACAAACUCGCAAUCAUAGGCAUCCUAAGUAACCUAAAGCAACUCAAAUUCAAUGAUAAACCAUCAUAAAGAACACAACAUUUGUCAAGUGACCAACAAAUAGUAACACUACAAGCCGAAUUAAUAUGAUAUGUGUAUAUCAAGUGCAAUAAUACCUCGACAUUUUCAAAUGACAUAAAAAUCAGAUGUAUGUACUGUAAAUCUGCAAUGUCCUCACAACCUGAAAUAAUUAUAUCAAUGUAUUUCUUUUCGACCUAGACCUGGACCAGAACUAGGUUCAUCCCUCUGCAAAUUAAAAACAAGCAAAUUGCACAAUUAUGAAAAGAGUACGGAUAAGAAAUUAGGAGAAGAACAUACUCGGAAGAUCCAACAUGACUGGUCGAUGAUACACUCGUUGCUCCAUUUGAAUUUGGUGAAGUGGGGGCAAUAGCAAAAGCCGAUCCACCAAAACCGUUUUGGAGACC